CAGUCGCCGCGGUAAUACGGAGGGUGCAAGCGUUAAUCGGAAUUACUGGGCGUAAAGCGUGCGUAGGCGGUUUGUUAAGUCUGUUGUGAAAUCCCCGGGCUCAACCUGGGAAUGGCAAUGGAUACUGGCAAGCUAGAGUGUGUCAGAGGAUGGUGGAAUUCCCGGUGUAGCGGUGAAAUGCGUAGAGAUCGGGAGGAACAUCAGUGGCGAAGGCGGCCAUCUGGGACAACACUGACGCUGAGGCACGAAAGCGUGGGGAGCAAACAGGAUUAGAUACCCGUGUAGUCCCUGUCUCUUAUAC
rnacentral:rRNA from 1 species